rnacentral:lncRNA from 1 species
CUUCUCUACAAAAUAUUUAAAACAUUAGCCAGAAAGAACAUUACAUGGCAUUUCCUACUGAAGAUGGGACUUAGCACAAAAACCAUCAUGGAUUCCAUCAAAGAGAUCAUUAAUGUCUCAAAACGUCUCCAAGGAUACAUGAUCUACAAAGGACCACAGAGUGCCCUGCAGAAUUGGGUUGAAAAACUAAAGAAGGCAAACAGAGUUUAUGGUAAGGCGGCAGUCUCUGGUCCCCGUUGUGAGAUUGGGUUCUUCCUGCCUGUUCCUGGAGUGGCAUGGAGAAAAGAGCAUGGAUUUGCAGAAGAGACACUUGAGAGAGAGGAAAGAAGUCUCGAUCCAGACCCCAAGAGAGGCUUGUUGAAUGUCACACAAGAAAGAAUUCGGGGCGAGUCCACAGUGCAAAGCAAAAGCAAGUUUAUUAACAGAGUAAAGUGGUGAAAGUACAGCUACUCCAUAGACAGAGCAGGGCGUUCCCGAAAGCUAGAGGAGGAACGCAUCCACCGAUACAACAAAGCUUUAAAGCACGAAAAAGAUGAACUCGAAACACCAGUGACUGGAGGAACCAUGACAACACAAACAAGAAGGAAACAAGAAAGAAAAAGCAUAAUCCUGGUUUUUGUGUUCUGAAUUGUGGAUUUGAAAUGGAGGCUCCCGUGGCUGCUGACAGCCUGCCUUGAUGCUGCUGAUGUCUGGGUGAUGAACAGUCAUGGGUUUCCUCCCACCUGCCUCUGUGGAUUAAUGAAGAGCAAGGCAGGAAUGGCAGACCUGCCAUCUGGAAUGACCUUACCUGAUAAGAUUGUUCUGCCUUCCCCGCCAAAGGAGCCCACUCCAUUAUGAAAAAGAACUUCAAGCAAAUUUGAAUCUUUCUUCACUGAGUUCUAACAUACUCCAGACCUGUAUUGUGGAAGCUCUUCCUAAAGUCCAUUUGUGUGGAAUGACUGCGCUGCUAUAUCCCAUCGUGGGCAAAGGAUACCUGCUAUGAAGGGCGAACUGGCAUCAAGCCUAAGUCUUCAUUAAGAGCAAGAACCACAACAUUUGGAGAUUACCAACAUGGUUUUCAGCCCUCAGCUUUGGCGAGACUUCUUCCUUUUCAUUCUUUUCUGGGCAAAUCUAAACCUUUGGAGAAGUAGAUGAGUGAAGUCAAUUGCAAAGGGACUGGAUCUCUCUCUAUCACCCAGACUGGAGUGCAGUGGCACAAUCGUGGCUCACUGCAGUCUUGAACUCCUGGCCUCAAGAGAUCUUCCUGCCUCAGCCUCCUGAAUGGUUGCGACUACAGGUGAGAGCCUGGCUCAUUUAACCUUUUAAAAGUGCAUGGUUCAGUGGCAUUAAGUACAUUCCCCUUGUGCAAUUGGUACUCCCAUUCACUUCCAGAGCUUUUUUCUUUUCCCCAAAGUGAAACUCCAUAACUAUUCAGCAAUAACUCCUCAUCACUCCUUUCCCACUUCCCCAGCCCUUGGUAACCACGAAUCUACUUUUUGUUUCUAUGAACUUGACUAUCCUGGGUACCACAUGGAAGUGGAAUCAUACAAUAUUUGUCCUUUUGUGUCUGGCUUGUUUAACUUGGCAUGAUGCUUAGUUCACAUGGUGUGAUGUCCUCUAGGUUCAUCCAUGUUGUAGUAUGUAUCAGAAUUUCAUUCCCCUUUUAAGGCUGUAUUAUAUUCCAUUGUGUACAUACACCACAUUUUGUUUAUUAUUUAAGUAAUCUGAAUUUGUUUGUUUGUUUUGUUUUAAACUUUCUAUGCUGAUAUUGUAUUCCUCUGACAAUUAAAAUAAUGGAAUUGCAGAAGACAC